GGGAGGCAGCAGNGGGGAAUAUUGCACAAUGGACGAAAGUCUGAUGCAGCGACGCCGCGUGAGGGAUGAAGGUYUUCGGAUCGUAAACCUCUGUCAGUUNGGAAGAAACAGUAGGGUGCUAAUCAGCCCUACCUUGACGGUACCAACAAAGGAAGGACCGGCUAAYUCCGUGCCAGCAGCCGCGGUWAUDCGGAGGGUCCAAGCGUUAAUCGGAAUUACUGGGCGUAAAGCGCUCGUAGGCGGUAUAGCAAGUCAAUGGUGAAAGCCCCGUGCUCAACAUGGGAACUGCCUUUGAAACUGCUAAACUAGAGUGUGUGAGAGGGUGGCGGAAUUCCAGGUGUAGGAGUGAAAUCCGUAGAUAUCUGGAGGAACAUCAGUGGCGAAGGCGGCCACCUGGCACAUAACUGACGCUGAGGAGCGAAAGCGUGGGUAGCAAACAGGAUUAAGAUACCUCUGGUAGUGCUCAGCGCGCGUAA
rnacentral:rRNA from 1 species